rnacentral:rRNA from 1 species
CGGCGGACGGGUGAGUAACACGUGGAUAACCUACCUAUAAGACUGGGAUAACUUCGGGAAACCGAGCUAAUACCGGAUAAUAUAUUGAACCGCAUGGUUCAAUGGUGAAAGACGGUUUUGCUGUCACUUAUAGAUGGAUCCGCGCCGCAUUAGCUAGUUGGUAAGGUAACGGCUUACCAAGGCAACGAUGCGUAGCCGACCUGAGAGGGUGAUCGGCCACACUGGAACUGAGACACGGUCCAGACUCCUACGGGAGGCAGCAGGA